rnacentral:misc_RNA from 1 species
CUAGCUAAGCUAGCGCGCAAUGGCUUUCUCUGAGAGGGGCUACCUUCUUCAAGCUCCGCCCAACCUAUACAAGGUGCUACUCGCUUUCUCUCAGCCACAAGUGGCUUAAGUACUUUCGCUGACUGAAUUCAUCCAUAAACCCAGACCCCCGUAACUUAAGAAUCCAAAAGUCACCUUUGGAUGUUGUCGUGACGCUUUGGUUACGAAGGUUACGGGGGUCUGG